UAUUUAGAGCUGAAAGUGUUACUAACAGCGCUCUAAUAUAUUGUAAAACUUAUUAAGGCACCACAGUUUCGUACAACACAUGGCGACUCGUCGCGGGGCUUUCUUCUAGUGUGUAUCCGUUAUUGCAGCGAGUUUUGUAGAGGGACCCGUCUAACAUUACCAUGAAAUAGUUGGUAUUCUUGGUCAGAUUUAUCUGUGGAAAGUGUUACACGUAAUGACGAGCACGUUUGAGCGGUUUUUGCGGCUGUACUGGCGGUAUCUUGGAUUCAUCAGCGCUGGUCGAACUACACCGAUUCCUCAGCAAUAAUUCUUCCAUAAGGAGAUCUGUUUACCUUUCUAUGGUUGUUUCUGAAACCCAAGACUUCAUGUAGCCUCAUUUUUCGUCUUCCCGUGAGUGCCCAACUCGAGGUGUCCCACAGUCCUUUGAUGCAUAUCAAGUCCUGAUUGCACCUCUGACUUCAUACACACCACUGAGUUCCCAAAUGUGGCGUACAGGAACAUGUGCAAACACAUUCUACAUCCCAAGAUAUGUUGCUGGAAGCGUUCAAUAAAUGCUGUUAAGUUUCACCAUCA